rnacentral:lncRNA from 1 species
CCAGCUUCCUCCCGGGCUGCAAUUCCUCUGCCUAGGUGCCUCCGUCCAGCUCCGGCUUCUGGCCCGGAGGCUGCUCAUCUGCCCCUACCCCCGCUGACUUUUGGGAGGAGCAACACCUUUCAGGUCAGCAUUGCUAACCCUAAACUUUCCCCGCCGGAUGCCCGCGAGGCUGCUGCGGCGGCGGCUGCUGCUGAUGGGAGAGUCUCGAGUCCGGCUUUCAUCACAUCACCUGUCUGCGCCCCUUCCCCCUCCCCGCUCUUUUUUUCUUUUCUUUUUAUUUUGACGCAAAUAAUUUGCAUUCUGAGAAUCCCACAAUCAACGCCGAAACUCAUGCUCAAGGAUACAGGGAGCAAAGUCUGCCACAU